GGAGUCCGACCUAGAAAGAGUUAGCACCUCAUCUAGUACCGAGACCUUGGAGCCAAAAUCGUGAGACUAGGUUUAAGCGUAGGUCAGGGAUACUGCAAGCCUAAAUGCGUAAGCGUGAAGCAAUUCAGCCUCGUCAUAUAUAAAGUCGUGGGAGCAGAGACGUUCCUUCUCGUUGAAAGCAAUACCGGUUAUAUCGUUAGUGCGAGAUAUAAUGAGAGUUCCACCGGGGUCAAUAAGAGCU
rnacentral:ncRNA from 1 species